rnacentral:piRNA from 1 species
UGUUAAGUAAGCCAGGUUCAGCAGUUUGCCUU